GGCUCGUUGGUCUAGGGGUAUAAUUAUCGCUUAGGGUGCGAGAGGUUCCGGGUUCAAAUCCCGGACGAGCCC
rnacentral:tRNA from 1 species